rnacentral:rRNA from 1 species
AGCAGCCGCGGUAAUUCCAGCUCCAAUAGCGUAUAUUAAAGUUGCUGCAGUUAAGAAGCUCGUAGUUGAAUUUCGGGAUCAAUUUGCUGGUCGUGCUAUGGUACGUACUGGUUUUGUUGGUUCCUCCUUUCUGAGGAGUCGUGAUGUCAUUAAUUUGGUGUCGCGAGGAAUCGGGACUGUUACUUUGAAAAAUUAGAGUGUUUAAAGCAGGCUAACGCUUGAAUACAUUAGCAUGGAAUAAUGAAAUAGGAUGAUUGAUCCUAUUUUGUUGGUUUCUAGGAUCGACGUAAUGAUUAAUAGGGAUAGUUGGGGGCAUUAGUAUUCAAUUGUCAGAGGUGAAAUUCUUGGAUUUAUUGAAGACUAACUACUGCGAAAGCAUUUGCCAAGGAUGUUUUCAUUAAUCAAGAACGAAAGUUAGGGGAUCGAAGACGAUCAGAUACCGUCGUAGUC